UACGUAGGGACCAAGCGUUGUUCGGAUUUACUGGGCGUAAAGGGCGCGUAGGCGGCGUGGUAAGUCACUUGUGAAAUCUCUGAGCUUAACUCAGAACGGCCAAGUGAUACUGCUGUGCUAGAGUGCAGAAGGGGCAAUCGGAAUUCUUGGUGUAGCGGUGAAAUGCGUAGAUAUCAGGAAGAACACCGGUGGCGAAAGCGCUCUGCUAGGCCGCAACUGACACUGAGGGACGAAAGCUAGGGGAGCGAAUGGG
rnacentral:rRNA from 1 species